AGUAACACGUGGGUAACCGUGCCUUAUAGUGGGGGAGUAGCCUUUCGAAGGAAGAUUAAUACCGCAUAAGAUUGUAGUAUCGCAUGAUAUAGCAAUUAAAGGAGCAAUUCGCUAUAAGAUGGACCCGCGUCGCAUUAGCUAGUUGGUGAGGUAAUGGCUAACCAAGGCGACGAUGCGUAGCCGACCUGAGAGGGUGAUCGGCCACAUUGGGACUGAGACACGGCCCAGACUCCUACGGGAGGCAGCAUG
rnacentral:rRNA from 1 species